UACGGGGGGUGCGAGCGUUGUCCGGAAUCACUGGGCGUAAAGGGCGCGUAGGUGGUUUGAUAAGGGUGUGGUGAAAGUCCGGGGCUCAACCCCGGAUCUGCCGUGCCGACUGUCAAACUCGAGGGCUGUAGAGGCAGACGGAAUUCCGGGUGUAGCGGUGGAAUGCGUAGACGAUCCGGAGGAAGACCGGUGGCGAAGGCGGUCUGCUGGGCAGUUUCUGACACUGAGGCGCGACAGCGUGGGGAGCAACAGGAUA
rnacentral:rRNA from 1 species